CCCCUCCCCGUGCAUAUCUGCACACACGCUCCCAGGGAGCCCCGGCGGACAGACGCGAGAAAACAGAGGGGCCCCGAGCGCCUACGUGGAGCGCGCACACACUGAUGCCACGCUUUCCACGGUGGGAAGGAAAUGAAGCGCGCAGUGGCCAGAGCCCGGCGGAACUAGUUUUCCACUCGUGAUGCUCAAAGUGGCAAAAAUAUUAUAGAAGAAAACUAUUGGAUUGUCAAGUUGUAUUAUAAAUACAAGACCUGGAUGCAAUGGACUCAUGCAUAAUCUUUCUGUGUAAGACAUUUGCCAUCUGCCUACCACUCCCAUCUUGAGUAGAGAAGGCUGCUGGAAGACACGAUACAGGCCUCAAAUAUGUCAAAGAUUCUUCAUCAAGGAAAGAAAAAAGCGUUUUUCUGCUUGCCAUGUCUGAAAGAAUCAAUCUACUGGUAUAGGUGUGUGUGCACAGAAAUGAAGAUAUUGACAUGAGAAAAUAACAGUGGAAUCAGAAGAAACAAGAAAUGGUAUACUGACAAAAGUAAUGUUUUUGUUAUUGUUAGAUGUUUUAAUCUUUGUGCUUCAGGCCUCAUUUCAUAUUUCGUACUGCAAAAUGAAAAACAAACAUAUGAAAGAAGAGAAUUGUGUUCUUUUCCUUUUGAACUGCUAUUUAAAUGAGUUCCUAUUACUGUUUGUAAGAACUACAUUUUAGGGAAUGUAUUAAAUCCCAACAAGUAAACAAAUACAUCUUAAAUCUAAUCAUUACAAGAUUAUUCCUGAUAUUUAUAAUACCCUGGCCUUUAAGUUUUCUUUUAGAACAGCUGCAGGGCUUUUGGACAAGAUGAGUAGCUCUUAAUCGAACGGCUGAAAAACUCCCAAGAAGUGAUUUGUCAUCUUAGGCAAGGCAUUUUUUAAAUAACCCAAUGGCACAUGAAACUAGGCUUAAAUGCCAUUAUGAUAAAAACCACUUAAGCUGCUGAUAAUCAUCCUAUGUGAAUUGGCACUCUAUAUGCUUACAGACAAAUCUGGACAUGCUUCAAUUACCUUUUCAGCAUAGCUCUGAAUACUAUUAAUACUAUGAAAAAUGUUAUAUAUGUAAAUUACAAAAAUACCACUGUAAGUAAAAAGUGUAUGUUCAUCAUUGUAAUUAGUGGCUUGUGCCAAGAAAGCAUCUUGUGAAAGCAGAUAAUUGACUUUUUUAAAUUAGAGGUGAAAGAAACCUGCAAGAUCAUUUUAUUAACCGUGACAAACUUGGCAUGCUGCUAUUACAUUUUAUCUAGAAAGAAAUGCUAAUUCACUGAUUCAUAACAGAUACCUCGUUUCAGUGUUCUUUUCUAUUUAGUAAUGCUGAUGAGUUCUUUGAGUUGAUCACCUGUAAAUUGCUCUUGUGAAGUAGUCUUACCCCUAAUUAUUAUUAUAGGGCUACCUAUAUUACCUUUUUUUAUCAAGAUGCUGGUCUAUGGGCUGAUGAAAAAGGAAGUUCUUACACAUUUAGGUUCCAGAAGUCUGGAUAAUACUAGUUUUGCUUCCAGGCUCUUAAUGUAAUGCUGAAUAUGUCUGAAUUUUAUUGAAAUUCUCCGUUCUGAAGUGUAACAAAUACAUCUUCACUGACUUUCACUGAAGAAUCAACGAGACUAAUUCAGGUGCAGAGAAUUUCCACAGAGGCCUUCAAAGAUCUCUCCCCAUUGGCUAUAUGGAGUCUUCACUGAAUAAAAGCUGGUAAAAGCUGCAUUUUCAUCUUCAAGAGACAUCUACUGUUGAAAUCCUUCUAAGCCUAGCCAAGUUUAUUUUCUGCCUUAUCACACUUGAAUAUUUUUUACCAAAGGAAAAACAAAAGAAGGCACUUAACAUGCUUGUGACCUAAAUAUUUUACUAUAGGAAGCUUGCAUUCACUUUACACCUGGGCAGCCAGGCUUUGUUCUUUGUGGCACUGUAUGUCCAAACCACCUCUCCAAUGGAAGCAGAGUUUAUUAUUCUUCAGUAUUUUUAAAGUCUUUU
ensembl:lncRNA